GUGAAUCAUCAAAUUUUUGAACGCAAAUUGCACUCUCUUCGGAGAGUAUGCCUGUUUGAGGGUCAUCCUAAAAAAAAUCGACAUAGUCGCUGUUUCGCGGUGACAUUCUUCGGAAAUUGGGUCAUCUUAAACCUUUGGUUUUAAGCGGCUUAAAAUUUUCUUUACGAUUCUACGAACGUUUCUUAGAAUUACUUACACCUUUAAGGUAUCUAUUUUUUUUAUACAUGGCCCUUGCAUCU
rnacentral:misc_RNA from 1 species